rnacentral:rRNA from 1 species
AUUCAUGGCCACACCACCCUGAACCUGCCGAUCUCAUCUGAUCUCGUGAAGCUAAGCAGGGCUGGGCCUGGUUAGUACUUGGAUGAGAGGAUCCCAGGUUAAUGAAGC